UACGUAGGGUGCGAGCGUUAAUCGGAAUUACUGGGCGUAAAGCGUGCGCAGGCGGUUCUCCAAGUCCGUUGUGAAAGCCCCGGGCUCAACCUGGGAAUGGCAGUGGAAACUAGGGGACUGGAAUCUGGCAGAGGGGGGUGGAAUGCCGCGUGUAGCAGUGAAAUGCGUAGAGAUGUGGAGGAACACCGAUGGCGAAGGCAGCCCCCUGGGCUAACACUGACGCUCAUGCACGAAAGCGUGGGGAGCAAACAGG
rnacentral:rRNA from 1 species